rnacentral:rRNA from 1 species
CCAGUGUCCUACGGGAGGCAGCAGUGAGGAAUAUUGGUCAAUGGGCGAGAGCCUGAACCAGCCAAGUAGCGUGCAGGAAGACGGCCCUAUGGGUUGUAAACUGCUUUUGUAUGGGGAUAAAGUCAGUCACGUGUGAUUGUUUGCAGGUACCAUACGAAUAAGGACCGGCUAAUUCCGUGCCAGCAGCCGCGGUAAUACGGAAGGUCCGGGCGUUAUCCGGAUUUAUUGGGUUUAAAGGGAGCGUAGGCUGGAGAUUAAGUGUGUUGUGAAAUGUAGACGCUCAACGUCUGACUUGCAGCGCAUACUGGUUUCCUUGAGUACGCACAACGUUGGCGGAAUUCGUCGUGUAGCGGUGAAAUGCUUAGAUAUGACGAAGAACUCCGAUUGCGAAGGCAGCUGACGGGAGCGCAACUGACGCUGAAGCUCGAAGGUGCGGGUAUCGAACAGGAUUAGAUACCCUGGUAGUCCGCACAGUAAACGAUGGAUGCCCGCUGUUGGUACCUGGUAUCAGCGGCUAAGCGAAAGCAUUAAGCAUCCCACCUGGGGAGUACGCCGGC